rnacentral:other from 1 species
GAGCUGCGGUGUACGUGUUUUCGAUUACGUCCCUGAGCCGAUACUUCUAUCAAAGGAAGGCUUACGCCUUACUAUUGAGCAGGACCGCAUUAUAGCGGUAAGCCUACGGUAAAGCUGUGCCAUCCGCCUUGAACUUACGGGUUCAAGGGCAACAUCGAUAGCGGCACCUUGGUU